rfam:Oryza sativa Japonica Group DNA, chromosome 4, cultivar: Nipponbare, complete sequence.
AUCCAUUGAGAUCAUGAGUUUCCCUAUCUAACUUUAAUCGUUCGUCUUAUUUAAAUUUUUUUUAUAAUUAGUAUUUUUGUUGUUAUGAGAUGAUAAAAUAUGAAUAGUACUUUAUGCGCGACUUAUGUUUUUAAAUUUUUUUCAGAUAGACGAUCAAAAUUGAGCACGAAAAAGUAUGGCUGCACUUAAA